GAUGAACGCUGGCGGCGUGCUUAACACAUGCAAGUCGAACGGAAAGGCCAGUGCUUGCCCUGGUGCUCGAGUGGCGAACGGGUGAGUAACACGUGGGUGAUCUGCCCUGCACUUUGGGAUAAGCCUGGGAAACUGGGUCUAAUACCAGAUAGGACCAUGCUUUGGAUGGUGUGGUGGAAAGUUUUUUCGGUGUGGGAUGAGCUUGCGGCCUAUCAGCUUGUUGGUGGGGUAAUGGCCUACCAAGGCGUCGACGGGUAGCCGGCCUGAGAGGGUGUACGGCCACAUUGGGACUGAGAUACGGCCCAGACGCCUACGGGAGGCAGCAGGGGGGAAUAUUGCACAAUGGGCGCAAGCCUGAUGCAGCGACGCCGCGUGGGGGAGGACGGCCUUCGGGUUGGAAACUCCUUUCGCAACUGACGAAGCUUUUUGUGACGGUAGGUGGAGAAGAAGCACCGGCUAACUACGUG
rnacentral:rRNA from 1 species